GGCGAGUUGAGCACCUUUGGCUCGUGCUAAAUUGGUCCUGGUGCUGAAAGUCUGACUCCAGUUAAAUGAGAUUCAGCUCCUGCAAAUCGCAGAAGGAUAUUAGGGAGCGCAUCUUUUCCUCAGGAUGUGAGCAGUGACUGAACCGUUGGUGCCAAAAGUAGAUCCGAACGCGCGAGCUUCACGCUUCAGCGUCGGGCUUCUCCACCAGCUUCAGAGCCUCGUGCAUGCCGGCGGCCGACAGCUUCCGGUUAAUGUUCCUGUAGCGGCAGCGCAGCAGGUUGCUGUAGGUGGUCCUCAGAUCCCGGUUGAAAAAGGC